rnacentral:rRNA from 1 species
UGAGGAAUAUUGGUCAAUGGACGCAAGUCUGAACCAGCCAUGCCGCGUGCAGGAAGAAGGUGCUAUGCAUUGUAAACUGCUUUUAUACGGGGUAAGUUACAGAUACGUGUAUCUGGUUGAAAGUACCGUAUGAAUAAGGAUCGGCUAACUCCGUGCCAGCAGCCGCGGUAAUACGGAGGAUCCGAGCGUUAUCCGGAUUUAUUGGGUUUAAAGGGUGCGUAGGCGGUCAGGUAAGUUAGAGGUGAAAGCUCGAUGCUCAACAUCGAAACUGCCUCUGAUACUGUCUGACUAGAGUGUAGUUGCGGAAGGCGGAAUGUGUGGUGUAGCGGUGAAAUGCUUAGAUAUCACACAGAACACCGAUUGCGAAGGCAGCUUUCCAAGCUAUUACUGACGCUGAGGCACGAAAGCGUGGGGAGCGAACAGGAUUAGAUACC